GUGUUUAAUUAUGAUUCUAUUUUAAUAAGAGUUUAAUUCCUAGACACUCAAAUUAAUAACAGGUAUGGGGUCUAAAGCAUCUUUGCAUUUAAGAGAAGAAGAAAUUGAAGCAAUUCAACAAGAAACAGGGUUUCAAUCAAAUCAAAUCAUUCGUCUAUUCAGUCGCUUUACUUGCCUCGAUAAAGAACAAAAUGGUUUUCUAACGUAAGUUAUUUAUAU